rnacentral:rRNA from 1 species
CAGUAGCCACGGUAAUACGAAGGGGGCUAGCGUUGUUCGGAUUUACUGGGCGUAAAGGGCGCGUAGGCGGACUGAUAAGUCAGGGGUGAAAUCCCAAGGCUCAACCUUGGAACUGCCUUUGAUACUGUUUGUCUUGAGUUCGAGAGAGGUAAGUGGAACUGCGAGUGUAGGGGUGAAAUUCGUAGAUAUUCGCAAGAACACCAGUGGCGAAGGCGGCUUACUGGCUCGAAACUGACGCUGAGGCGCGAAAGCGUGGGGAGCAAACAGGAUUAGAUACCCCUGUAGUCCCUGUCUCUUAUAC